rnacentral:rRNA from 1 species
UACGUAGGGGGCAAGCGUUGUCCGGAUUUAUUGGGCGUAAAGAGCGUGUAGGCGGUUUGGUAGGUCCGCUGUGAAAACUCGAGGCUCAACCUCGAGACGCCGGUGGAAACCAUCAGACUAGAGUCCGGAAGAGGAGAGUGGAAUUCCAGGUGUAGCGGUGAAAUGCGUAGAUAUCUGGAGGAACACCGGUGGCGAAGGCGGCAUCCUGGACCGGCAUUGACGCUGAGGCGCGAAAGCCAGGGGAGCAAACGGG